CUGGAUCAUCAACAUGCAUUCCACGAUCUCCAGGACCUCAAUCUUGGACAAUCUAUCUUGCAACCGAGCUAUGCUUUCCACCGACAAAUCCACCUUUCCCUCUCUUCUAAAUUGGAAAACUCUAGGUAGAGUGAAAUUUUUUUACAAUCGAAUCUUCCAUAAAAAGAAAAAUAUCUUAUCCCAAUCAAUCUAUGUGACAAAUCUGGAAAGUUAUCAAGACUCCGAGAUG
rnacentral:lncRNA from 1 species